GUUGUACUCCCUCCGUCCCAAAAUUCUUGUCUUAGAUUUGUCUAGAUACGGAUGUAUCAAGUCACAUUUUAGUAUUAGAUACAUCCGUAUCUAGACAAAUUUAAGACAAGAAAUUUGGGACAGAGGGAGUACAUA
rnacentral:pre_miRNA from 1 species